rnacentral:rRNA from 1 species
AGUGAACGCUGGCGGCAGGCCUAAUACAUGCAAGUCGAACGGCAGCACAGCAGAGCUUGCUCUGUGGGUGGCGAGUGGCGGACGGGUGAGGAAUACAUGGGAAUCUGCCCAGUCGUGGGGGAUAACGUAGGGAAACUUACGCUAAUACCGCAUGCGCCCUUCGGGGAAAGCCGGGGACCUUCGGGCCUGGCGCGAUUGGAUGAGCCCAUGUCGGAUUAGCUAGUUGGCGGGGUAAUGGCCCACCAAGGCGACGAUCCGUAGCUGGUCUGAGAGGAUGAUCAGCCACACUGGAACUGAGACACGGUCCAGACUCCUACGGGAGGCGGCAGUAGGGAAUAUUGGACAAUGGGCGCAAGCCUGAUCCAGCCAUGCCGCGUGAGUGAAGAAGGCCCUCGGGUUGUAAA